rnacentral:misc_RNA from 1 species
GAAAUGCGAUAAGUAAUGUGAAUUGCAGAAUUCAGUGAACCAUCGAAUCUUUGAACGCACAUUGCGCCCUCUGGUAUUCCGGGGGGCAUGUCCGUCCGAGCGUCAUUAUAACCCUCGAGCCUCGCUCGAUGUUGGGCCUCUCGCCGACCGCCGGCGGGCCUCAAAUGCAGCGAUCGGUGCGUCCGCGACCUCAAGCGAAGUAAACAUCUGCCGCUUUGGAGGGGUGUGGCGCGCCAGACUCCACGUCUCAUCGGUUGACCUCGGAUCGGGCAGGGAUACCCGCUGAACUUAA